UACGGAGGGGGCUAGCGUUGUUCGGAAUUACUGGGCGUAAAGCGCACGUAGGCGGCUUUUUAAGUCAGAGGUGAAAGCCCGGGGCUCAACCCCGGAACUGCCUUUGAGACUGGAAGGCUUGAUCGUCGGAGAGGUGAGUGGAAUUCCGAGUGUAGAGGUGAAAUUCGUAGAUAUUCGGAAGAACACCAGUGGCGAAGGCGGCUCACUGGACGACUGAUGACGCUGAGGUGCGAAAGCGUGGGGAGCAAACAGG
rnacentral:rRNA from 1 species